rnacentral:rRNA from 1 species
UACGUAGGGGGCGAGCGUUGUCCGGAUUUAUUGGGCGUAAAGAGCGUGUAGGCGGUCAGGUAGGUCUGCUGUGAAAACUCGAGGCUCAACCUCGAGACGUCGGCGGAAACCAUCAGGCUAGAGUCCGGAAGAGGAGAGUGGAAUUCCCGGUGUAGCGGUGAAAUGCGCAGAUAUCGGGAAGAACACCCGUGGCUAAGGCGGCUCUCUAGUACGGUACUGACGCUGAGACGCGAAAGCGUGGGGAGCGAACAGG